ACACAAGAAGAAUUGGCCCUUGACCAGCCUGAUUGGUUGCAGGAGGGGACCAAUCAGAGGUACCUCCCAUUUUUCAUCUGCAGCCCAAUGCAAAGUAAUGACAUGGAUCUGGAGAGAUUCUCUUAGGAGAGAAUCUGGCUAAGUGUCUAGCAGGAUGAUUGAUUAACAAGAUGUUUUGUUUUCAUCAUCUCAGAGAUAACUGUAUUGAGGUAUAAUUGAUAUGCCAAAUAACUGGACACAUUCAACUUGUGCAAUUUGAUGAGUUUGGAGAUACACAUACAUCUGUGAAACCAUCACCAAAAUCAAGAUGCUGGUGCCUGCAGUGGAGGCUGCUUGAAAUACAUCUGGUCCAGUCACAGCCUUGAUUGGGGCCAGUGCCUGUGCCAGCACCUGGAGCUGCCUGCCCCACCACAGCAGCCAGCGUGCCUGGCUGUGCACAGAGGCCAGACCUGUGCUCACUCACUCACACGCCCCUCACCACUCUGUGCCUGGCUCACCCUUGGCAGGCAUGGGAUCUCGGCCAGUAGCACGAGCCAAGCACAGCCUGCUGGGCCAAGUGGGUAAAACGAGCCCAGUGGGUGCGAGCAAGACUCAAGCAGAGGCACCACCAGCCGCCGAGGCACCACCAGCCACAGAGGUUUCUGGCUGGUGAAGCAACACCUGAAGAAUCCUAUGGCAUUUUCCUGACUUUGAAAUUUACCCACUUAGUCAAGAAAAUAUGAAGCUAUUCAUUCCCUUUACUUGUCUAGCAGAAUAUUUCCACAUAGAAGAUUUUAGUCUUUGUCAUCAAGACUGCGUAACAUUUAACACUCCACCACAUCAAAAUGCUACUUACACAUACAUAAUAAACACUCAGAGAGGAAUGCUGCCUCAGACAUCAUCUUUUCUUCACUCUGUCUAAAGCAUGAAUGUCCUUAGAUGUUCAUUCAAAAUUAGUGCCAGGGAGUGCUAUUUGGCAAGGCCACUUAGAAUAUAGUAAUUAAUUAGAAUGCAUUUAUUAAAUUAAGCUGAAAC
rnacentral:lncRNA from 1 species